CCUCUGCUGGCAGGGGGCCAGCACGGCCGUUCAGGAAGCGGGCGCCAGCCCCCCAGGCUCUCGGGAGAAAGGGGGGCGGGCCUUCUCAACCUCCGCCACACCUCCACCUCGCGGGGGUCCUUGCGGAUGGAGCUUGAAGGCUGAUCAGACCCAGCUAGAGAUGACCCUCCACUUUCCUGCCUGUAGGGUGCAGAUCUGGUUGUAAACGACUGGGAGCUGAAUGGCAGAAGAGGACUCAGCAUCAAAUAUGCACUUUACCCCGUGCAGAGGCCCCAAAAACGUGGCCUUUGACAAGAAGGAGGAACAUGAGGGAUCUGGAAGCAAGUGGAUGCUUCUGGAGGUUGUGCUCUACUAAAAUGAGGGACUAAACAAAGAAAAAAAGAAGAUAUAGGAUAUAGGAACAGAAGAUAUAAUGCAGGAGAAAAAUGAUUUGAGAGGCCCUGACAACAAUUCUUCACUAGACAUGGAUUGGUACAGGUCCAGAAGGCCCAGAAGAGACUCCAUUUUCAGAUGAAACUGAUAGAACACCUCGUCUAUCUAAGUCUUGGGAAGCAGAGAUUGAAACAAUCGUUAAAAAGUUUGGGCUUGGCUUGGUGAUGGAUAGUAAACCAAAACAAGAUAAUAACUGCAGGAAAAACAAAAAGCUGAGCAGGAGAAGAAAAGUGAUCAUAGUAUAUACUACUUGGCCCAAGAUGUAAGUAAUGUUUACCUAAUCAUAAUGAAGUAAACAAAAACCUAUUAAAAAAGGACAAUAUAACUAGAUUGAGCAGAUCAAAGGAUGAAAAGUGUGGUGGCAGUGGGGAAAAGGAUAGGGAAAGAAAGAAGAACUAAAUCCUCAUUUCCCACUAAGUGAAAUCAACAGAUAAUGCCUAGAAGUGAGAAAUCGAGAAAUAGCAAUGCAAACAUUUUAUAUAGAGAACUGAAAGUAAAUAUCAAAAUAACCAGUUAAA